UACUUCUUUUAAUCCAACCAUGACCAUUUAGUCCUAAUUUUCUUGGGGGAAUAAUGAUUCGUGUAUGUAUACUAAUAGAAUGAGGAUGACCCUAUUGCUCUCUUCCUAUUUCAUUCAUCCCAAAGAAUCACAUGAGCCAGCAUCUCCAGGGGAAUAGACCAAUAGGAGAAAUGGAUAUAGUGUUGAGCUGGUUUAGACCCUAUUGUCCCUAGUACAUAAUAGAAGUCUUCCAUAGGAAAAGAAUACUAAAAAGUGAAAAUGUCAAGAUUAAUGUGAAAGUAUUACUCUAUUACAAAGCUACAUUGACAACAGCAAGAACUGCUCAGAGAUAGAAGCAGAUUUUGACUCAACCAGUGCUAAAUUCAACCUAAUCUUAAGAACCAACAUAUGAAAUAAUUCCAGAUUCAAAUGAGCUUCAGAGGCCUUUCUGACUGUAAGAAAGAAUUGAAAUGACUGUCCAGAGUGCAUCCAGGAUUUGGUGUUAUC